CUUCCGGGUGGAACCAAAUCUUCUGUAAUCGUCAAGAGUGAGCACUUCUGAGAGAGUAAAAAGGGGCAAUAAGCACAUCAGGACCACAGGCGUCAGCUGGGGCUGAGCUGGGUAAGCCAAGAUGCUGCGUGCCCUACACGCAGAGCAGCAGAGGGAAGUACUGCUUGGAAGUACCAGCUGCCAUUGAUGCUGUGAUCCACGUGGCCAUUAUCCCCACUGGGCAGAUGAACACACUGAGGCUUGACUUCCUCAAGGUCCAUGGCUUUGAAGCGGGAAAGCAUGGGUCGGCUCCAAGCCCUUGCUGCCUCUCAGGCCCAGAGCCUUCGGAGGACGUCCAGAGGACGAGAGCAGCUGGAGAAACAGCAGGUAGCCCAGACCAGAUCCAGCAUCUGCCACUUUUCACCUCUCCUGGGCACCAAGUCUUUCCCUGAAGGGGAACCUGGGCAUUGCAUCUCUGUGCCUACUGUCCUGGAUUUUAGUGGGUUUCGAGGAAUGCUAAAUGAAUGAAUGAAUGAAUGGACUACUUUGAAAGAAACCCCUAAAACAUUUUGGCCUCAUUCUCUUCAUCUAUUUAAUGGGCAUAUCUUCCACACUCAUGCUGUGAAAGGCAACGCUCAUUAAAAACACCACAGCCCAUGAAUAUAUGAGGCCCCA
rnacentral:lncRNA from 1 species